CACAAUUCUCAGGAGAUGUCCGCGCUUUCCUGGUUUAAUGGGUCUCCGGGAUUGGGGGGGAUAGCGCUGAGGUCAUAACGUUUUGCGCUUUCAUUUGGCCGGUCCAACAUGCAACGCUAUCUGCAGUAUUCAAAGCAUCCACAAGAUAACGGUAUACGCUAUUUCUUGUACUUGCCUCACCAAUAAGUCGUACGGUGGGAUGAUAUAUAAGUAAUAUGAAAAGUGACAUAUUCCAGUGUUAAGGCGUGACUUUACAAUGGUCCCAGGGCCUAUCAAUGUGUCAAGUAAACAACUGAUCCGAAUAUGAGUAGCGAACUACAAGUACCACACUUUAUAGCCAUCUAAUAACCUUACGUCAGUUCAGUCAAAGUUGUGCCAUUUUCAACAAUGAAUGAAAUCUUGCGAUUUGACAUCUUUAAAAAAAAGAAGGUUUUGUCCGCUCUUUUAAAAUGCUACGCUAUUGCACGUCAGCUACUUCUUCUGUUGUUCGAAUAAUCAUCGAAUGCGCCCACUGCUUGGGCGCCCCCUAUUUAUACAUUCAAAUCGCUCACAGGUCAAUAAUAUCGGAGACACAGAUACUAACGUGGCUGCCAGUCGCGUUCUGCACAGGCUCCAAAUUGGUUUAUCCUUCACCAGCAGCAUUUAACCCCUGUAAGGCCUGAUGUACGGUGGUGUUGGUCGAGGUAAGAACAACAUUUGAAUCAAGUAGCCGUUACAAAGAAAAGUUAUUGAUUAGCAGUUUUAUUUAUCUGAAACGUCUCACUGCGUUAUAAAAUGCUUGGCCGUGUUUUUGUAAGCACGCGUCCUAGACAUGGCACAGCGGUCCAAGGCUCUAGCGAUAAAUGCAUGCAAUAAUAGCUAGCGAGCCUCGACAGCUAGUGAUCUAAUCGGGUAGGGGGUAAUAAUUAAUUUGUUUAUUACAGAUUAACAAGCGGUGUUUUGUGUGGAUGUGUCUGCAUAAUCGGUUAAAUGGACGUACGCUAAGCUAGUUUGCUAACCAUACAAAUUACGGUUUGCGUUAGCUAACCGAGGUAGUUAGCAUCAUAUUGUCAGUGCGGCUUGCUAUUGCUAACGUUAGUCAUCUUGACUGAGCUAGCUAAGUGAAGGCUUCAUAUUCUGUGAAGGGGUUUAGAACGCUCUUCAAAAAUAUGAUAUACUAAUUGUGAAUGAGUAGCUCGCUACCACACAUUGCUCAUUUGAAAGGUUUGUAAUGGACAGCAAGGAUACCAUCAUUUGAUAUAAACUAGUUAUGUAGCCAUCAUUCUGGCUUUCCAAAUGUUCUUAUCAAAAUGGUAGCUACGAAACGUUAGCUAGCUAAGAAGCUUUUUUCUCAAUCUUGUUAUUGAGUGAAGAAGAGCAUGCC
rnacentral:lncRNA from 1 species